ACCACCACUACCACGCACGUGCACGCAACGAACUCGCAUUUGUACGUACGCCGCGCCUCUCUCACGUGCUCGCAGUUCAUCCAUCACUGAUGGCGUCGCCACUGCCGGUGUUCACGGUGCGGCGGGGGGAGCCGGUGCUGGUGGCGCCAGCGGAGCCGACGCCGAGGGAGACGAAGCCGCUGUCGGACAUCGACGACGGGGAGGGCAUGCGGUUCUACAGCUCUGGGAUCCACCUGUACCGUAGCAACCCGGCCAAGCAGGGCCAGGACCCGGCCAAGGUCAUCCGGGAGGCCUUGGCCAGGGCGCUCGUCCCCUACUACCCGCUCGCCGGCCGCCUCCGUGAGGAGGCCGGGACUGGGAGGAAGCUCGUCGUUGAGUGCGACGCCCAGGGCGUCAUGUUCGCCGAGGCCGACACAGACCUCACCGCCGACGACUUCGGCGACGUGAAGUGCCCGCCCUUCCCUUGUUUCGAGCAGUUCAUACUGGAGAGCACCACCGUCGCCGGCGUCGAGCCCGUCGUUGACCGGCCCUUGUUGUAUAUUCAGGUGACGAGGCUCAAGUGUGGAGGCUUCAUCUUCGGGCAACGGAUCUGCCACUGCGUGGUGGACGCGCCGGGAGCCAUGCAGUUCGAGAAGGCCAUCUGCGAGUUCGCGCGCGGCGCCGAGGCGCCCUCGGUGGCACCGGCGUGGGGCAGGGAGAUGUUCAUGGCGCGACAACCCCCGCAGCCGUCGUACCCUCACCUCGAGUACCGCGAGCCGGCGGGCGGGCCCGACAGAAUGAUGUCAACGCCCCCGGGCGACAUGGCGCGUGUCCCGUUCUUCUUCGGGCCCCGGGAGAUCGCCGGGCUACGCCAGCGCGCGCCGCUGCACAUGCGCGGGGGCUGCUCCCGGUUUGAGCUCGUGGCCGCCGGCAUCUGGCGCAGCCGCACGGCGGCGCUCGGGUACGCGCCCGAUGAGGAAGUGCGCCUGUCCUUUAUCGUGAACGCGCGCGGCCGCCCCGAGAUCCCGCUCCCGGAGGGCUUCUACGGGAACGCGUUCGUGUACUCCGUGGCGGUGACCACGGCCGGGGAGCUCUGCGGCAAGGACCUCGGGUACGCGCUGGAGCUGGUGAAGAAGGCCAAGUCGGCCGUGACGUACGACUACCUGCUGUCGGUGGCGGACCUGAUGGUGCUCAACGGGCGGCCGUUGUUCGCGCUGUCUCGGACGUACAUCGUGUCGGACGUGAGCCACGCCGGGUUCAAGAGCGUGGACUUCGGGUGGGGGGAGGCCGUCUACGGCGGGCCAGCGAAGGGCGGCGAAGGGCCGCUCCUCGGCGUGACCAACUACUUCUCCCGGGCCAAGAACGGAAAGGGGGAGGAGGGCACGGUGGUGCCCAUCUGCCUGCCCAGGGACGCCAUGGAGAAGUUCCAGCUCGAAGUGGAAUGCCUCACCGCGGAGCUCUAAACAAUAUAUUAUUGUACCUUCAUGAAAAUGUUAGAUCUUUUUUGAUCUUGAUGAUUAUCCCUUUAAGGGGGCGGCCAUCCGAUCAAUCUCUGCUAGCUGCUGCAGGCUCGGGCUAGGUCGUGAUUAACGCUGCAACCUGCUGCGCGCAGCGCCGCACUGAGCGAGUGACUGCAGGCUAGCCGUUCAUCCGUGAUUAGUCUGCGUCGCGACGGCGGGGUUGCCGUUAAGUUCACCACGUCUCCUGGUCCCGGCCGGCUCCGACACCCCGCGUGACGCUUCGAGUCGCCGCCGCGGCGGCGCGUUUCGG